GUAGGGAAUAUUGGGCAAUGGAUGCAAGUCUGACCCAGCCAUCCCGCGUGCCGGAAGAAGGCCCUCAGGGUUGUAAACGGCUUUUGACGGUGAAGAAUCGACAGGAUGCGUCCUGUUUUGACGGUAGCCGUUGAAUAAGCACCGGCUAACUCCGUGCCAGCAGCCGCGGUAAUACGGAGGGUGCGAGCGUUGUCCGGAUUUAUUGGGUUUAAAGGGUGCGUAGGCUGGAAGGUCAGUCAGCGGUGAAAAGCUGUCGCUUAACGAUAGUCUUGCCGCAGAUACUUCCUUUCUUGGAUGAGGAGGAGGCCACUGGAACGGAUGGUGUAGCGGUGAAAUGCAUAGAUAUCAUCCAGAACACCGAUUGCGAAGGCAGGUGGCUGUACCUUAAUCGACGCUGAUGCACGAAAGCAUGAGGAGCAAACAGGAUUAGAAACCCGAGUAGUCC
rnacentral:rRNA from 1 species